rnacentral:lncRNA from 1 species
GGGCGGCCGGGCCGCCGGAGCGGAGAGGGCGGGACGGGGAGGCUGGGAGUUGUCCUUCCUUCCUUCCUUCCUUCCUUCCUUUGAAAUCAAAAUCCUCUGCUCCUAGAGGAGCGCAGGCGGCGGCCCCGGCAGGCUUUGCUGUCAGCCGCUACGCUGCGGCGAUCCGGCUCAGCAGCGCACGUGGGCUUCAGGGGCGGCGACCCCGCCAGACCGUACUGGCUGGCGACGGCGGCCGGAGCUGACGCCCGGGGGCGCGCGGCCG